AUUUGAAACAUCUUUCUGAAAGGAUUGCAAAACCAGAGUAGCGUGAGAAAUCUGGACCAUGCUAUGAAAUUGGUCUAACUUAGAAGGGUAAAUCUCACAACAAAAUUUGACCAAAGCCCCUUUUCAACAGUUAAGUCUUCAAGGUUUUUAGUUUUAUUCUUUAUUGGUCAUGAUUUCACUUUGGUGAUUCUGGCACUGAAUAGAGGUCAUUGAGAGCUUUUAUCAAAUAUACAUAAUUCAUAUUGGCCCACUUAAGCCCCUCUGACCCCAAACCCUCGAAAUACUUUCAUUUUACUUAGCUUUCAUUUUCAUCCAGUCACAACUUUUCCAAGAAAUGUAGACACAGUCACACACAGAUGUUAAAAACCUUUUUAAAACAUCCAGUCACUAACAAAUCUGUACUUCCCAUUUCAUCUAGCCACGCCUUUUCAAAGAAAUAUAAGUGGCAAACAGAAACAGAAAAGUCAGAACAACUUUAGUGGAGCUACUUCCAUCAAGGUAAUUAUAACUUUAAAGAAACCACAAUGCUUAACAACAGAGCAUACAUUUAAAAUCCAACAAGGGAAAUCAUUUCUCUUUUUAAUAUUCAAAUAACCUAAAAUAGAAAUGUUGUUGCCAGAAGUAAAGUAGUAUAGGUGAAAAAAGUAGAAGGAAGUAAUUGGAUGUAAAUUGAAUUAUAAAUGUAUCAACAGAGGUAAAGUUGGUUUGACAUUGGAUAUUGGAUAUUCAACGGACAUUUGAAAACCCAAGAUCAGGUCUUGUUUUCCCGGACUCAGCCACACUAUAAUCUGGUGUGGGAAAUGACAUACACAGUGGUCUGCUUAUGGUUAGGUGCGAGUAUAACGAGUGCGUAAAAGAGAGGCAAAAAGGGAAGGUGGACAGCACUGGUGAGGUGUACCGCCGGAGAGGAAGGGGUGCCACGUGGAGCAGACGUUACAUUAUCCCCCCCCCCCAGGCGCAGCUCCUGGCGCUGCCACCUGAGGACCCCGAGGAUGAGGUGCAAGCCGGUACGAACGGCGAGCAUGGAACUCCGAUGUCAGGGAGGGGUCGCAGAUGUCCACCGCCCGGACCCAGCUGCGCUCCUCAGGGCCGUAACCCGCCCAGUCCACCAGGUACUGGACCUGGCCCUGCCGCAGCCGGGAGUCACACGAUACGUCGGACCCCCAACCACCUCCACUGUGGGUGGAGGCGCCCCUGCAGGACUGAAUCCCCCCAGCGGACCAGGAAUCACCGACCCAAACAGAGAGACAUAGAAAGUUGGUGAGAGGUUUGUGUAUGGUGGAGUGAGCAGGAGUGUGUAUGAGAUGUCGUUUACCUUCCGGAGAACAUGAAACAGCCUCACAUAGCUUAUGCCUGACGGAGAGGAAGAUCCCUAAUGGACAGCCAUUCCUUGUCCACCUGGGUGGUACUCUGGGGCGUCCCUCCACUGCUUAUCCUCCUGCACCUUAUGACAUCCUACAGCCUCUUGCAGGCAGACAUGGGUGGCGGACCAGACCUCGUCUGACGUCCUGAACCACUCCUUCACAGCCUGGAUGUCAAUGGAACCCCCCACCCAGAGGCACAGCGGAGGCUGAAACCCAAGCACCACCUGGAAGGGGGUCAGACCUGUGGAGGAAUGGCACAGGGAGUUUUGAGCAUAUUCCACCCAGGGGAGAAAGCAGGUCCACUCACCUGGAUGGUCCAUACAGUAGGACUGGAGGAACCUUCCCAGCUCUUGCCUGGCCGUUAGCCUGCGGGUGAUACCUGGAUGUGAAGCUGACAACAACCCCCAACCUGGACAUGAAAACCUUCCAGACAUGAGAAGCAAACUGGGGGCCGCGGAAUGUCACAAUGUCCUCUUGAACAUGUUAUGGAAAUUUCUUGAACUGAUGUAUUCUUACUGAUUAAAGUAUUGAGUCCCCAUGUUUAGGUAAGAAUAGGAAUGUGGCAUUGGGGGAUCUGUUAUUGGUUUAAGGGGCAUUACUGACUAGUAUCAGCAGAUUAUAGGGUUACUCGUAAAUCUGCCCAUCUGUAUAACCCAUCAGAGAAUCGGUUGUUUGUCCAGAUGCUGUAUGUCCUUUUCAGAGUUGAAAAGGUUUCCCAUGUGGGCGAGGACUGCCUGCCCCUUGGGAGAAACCUAGGUAGUGAUAGAACAAAGGGAAUGUGUUUUAUUGAGUUAGGACAGCUGUGCAGCAUCUUACCACACCCCUUUUCCCCCUUUAAGUACUGAUGAUUGUACUGUAUUUAUUUUGAGAUUCCUCAGAGGAUUUUUCUAUAAGCUUUUGACGCGUCUCUCUAUUUGUAAAUAAACUGCUAAUUGUGCCAAGAUAAUUUUGCCUCUGUACUCACUCCUUUAAGAGUUCUUAUCGAUGGAAUUACCAUCACAAACACCACUUCAGGGACCCAUAGAGCAGAGUGUAGACUGGGUAAUGCAAUGAAUCUAACCAUCUUUGAGAACCUGUCCACUGCAUCAUAAACUCCACCGCCAGGUGUGACCAAGGCUGCUGAGGCCCGGGGAGAGGAUGGAGUUUCCGCGCUGGAGCUGUUACCAGUACCUCAGAUUGUUCACACAUGGUGCACGACACGACGUAGUGUCACAGUCCUCCCCAUACCGGCCCACCAGUAUUUUGCCCUGAGCACCUCCAGGGUCUGAUUGAUGCCCGGAUGUCCUGUAGCUGGCGUGGUGUGCACCCACUCUCCGGGGCAUGUAGGUGUUGUCCGGGGGCAGGUUGCUGGUGCUUGGUCCCGUCUCCCUGCCCGUUGAAUGUCUCAGGAGACAGGACCCAUGACACACGAGGGGGGUAGAAUAGGUAUGUCCUUUGGAAGCUCCACCCCCCCAGUCGUGCAGGCGGGAGAGCGCGUCAGCCCUGACGUUCUUCGUACCGGGGCGGUAAGUCAGGGUGAACUGGAAGUGUUUGUAAGAAAAGCGUCCAUCGAGCCUGGCGGGGAUUGAGGCGCCGCGCUGCCCUGUCAUAUUUGAGGUUCCGGUGGUCAGUCAGGACACUGAACAGCUCCCGGGCGCCCUUGAUCCAGUGUUUCCACUCCUCCAGUGCCAACUUUACCGCCAGUAGCUCCCGGUCACCCAUGCCGUAGUUCCUCUCCACAGCAGACCGUUUCUUAGAGUUGUAGGCACAGGGGUGGAGUCGAAGUGGAUUCUCAUGCUGCUGGGUGAGUACGGCCCCCACCCUGACCUCGGACGCAACUACCUCGACCAUGAACCAUGGGCUUUAGGGAGUCUGGGUGUUUCAGGAGAGGGGCUGUGACGAACCUGCCCCACAGGUCAAGGAAGGCCUUCUCCUCGUCUGGGGUCCAGCGGAGGCAUUGAGGUUGGCCUUUCAACAGUGAUGUGAGUGGCGCUGUGAUGGUGCUGAAGCCCUUGAUGAAUCAGCUUUGAAAGUUGGCAAAGCUGAUGAAGCUCUGUAGGUCCUUGAUUGUUUUUGGGACUGGCCAUGAACUCACUGCGUCCACCUCCAUAUUCACGCCUUUCGGAGCAAUGUGGUAUCCUAGGAAGGAGAUGGUGUAGGUGUGGAAAGUGCAUUUUUCCCCAUUAGCAAACAGAUGGUGCUGUUGCAAGCACUUUGAAACAGCAUGGACGUGGGCCCUGUGUUCCAGGUAUGUUUUGUUGUAGAUCAGAAUAUCAUCUAUGUAUCCUACUACAUAGAUGAUACCUAAUUGCUGCUUGCUGUACACUCUGCCUAGUUUGCCUGCUGCUGACGACCUGCCUGAGCAAUCUCUCCGCCAGCCGUAUACUGUAUCUUCCCUGUGAGACCCGAGACUUAACACCGCCAGACCUGGUCUUUUUGCUGAGCUCUGCCUCUGUUACUGGAAUAUUUCUGUAGUUUGUCUAAUGCCCGUAUCGACGGCAGUUUCUGUUUGUUAUUUCAAGAAGAGGAUUUCUGUUAAUCUGGACUGUUACUCUUUCAUUAUUAAAGACAUUGCAUUAUUGCAUUUCGCUUUUGGGUCCUUUCUAACCUGUUAUAGCAACACCCACAUGUUGCACAGCAUGGGUGUCCAUUGUGUUUUUAAAUUUUCAGAUGUUUAUAAAAGGAAUUCAAAAUGUUGUUGACCAUGUGGGAGUCCUCUCUGAACCAUUUGAAAGUGGUAUGAGGUUUCUAAGUCAUUCAACAAAAAAGCUGUUUAAUUUGUACAUUUGAAUACAUUUGAAUUUGAAUAUCCAAUAUCAAAUACCAAACCAACUUUACCUUGGUAAUUUAGUGCAUUAUUUCUAUUUCUAUGUGCCAUAUGGUACCUUAUUA
ensembl:lncRNA